GAAACGGAGCGGCUAAGUGACUUGCCCAAGUCGCAGAAGAAGUCUGUGGUGGAACAGAAGUUGAACACAGGUCUCCCACGGACCAGGCUAGCACUGUAACCACUGGACAAGUCUUCCUUUCAUCCUUUUUGUGCUCUGUUUCCCACACUGCUUUGGAGCAUCAAAAUAUAGUUGACUGUGGAAGCUCCAGAGUAACACCUUCAAGGUGCAACAGCGCACAGCUUUGAAACUGACAAGUUGAAGCUUUGAUUUGUAUUCUUCUGACAGCCUGGGUCCUUCAGAUGCUCCUUUUAAAGUGAUAGAGGUGGAUGACAGAAUAGGAACUGUAUGAGUGGUGACAGUCCAAGAUUCCCCUCUGCAUUCUGCCCUCCGCACUGACCUGGAAGGGGACAUCCACAGGAAAGACAAGAAACCUUGGAGUAUCAUUUACCCCCAUGGUAAGAGAUCCACCAUUCAAAGAGACAAAGAGCGCUGUCCUCUUUUUGUCCCCUGAUGGAUAACAAAGGAGUUAUCUUCUUCUUAUAGUCCAGUAAACCAUUGAAAUGCACUCUUCUGAAGUAUAUCCCCAAAUAAAGUUCUCUUCCCCUGCUGUUAUGUUCUAGGGAGCUG